rnacentral:rRNA from 1 species
UACGUAGGGUGCAAGCGUUGUCCGGAUUCAUUGGGCGUAAAGAGCUCGUAGGCGGUUCGGUAAGUCAGGUGUGAAAUCUCCACGCUCAACGUGGAGGGGCCACCUGAUACUGCCGUGACUCGAGUCCGGUAGGGGAGUAUGGAAUUCCCGGUGUAGCGGUGAAAUGCGCAGAUAUCGGGAGGAACACCAGUGGCGAAGGCGGUACUCUGGGCCGGAACUGACGUUGAGGAGCGAAAGCGUGGGUAGCAAACAGG